GACGAACGCUGGCGGCGUGCUUAACACAUGCAAGUCGAACGGUAAGGCCCUUCGGGGUACACGAGUGGCGGACGGGUGAGUAACACGUGGGUGAUCUGCCCUGCACUUCGGGAUAAGCCUGGGAAACUGGGUCUAAUACCGGAUAGGACCACUGCCUGCAUGGGUGGUGGUGGAAAGCUUUUGCGGUGUGGGAUGGGCCCGUCGGCCUAUCAGCUUGUUGGUGGGGGGAUGGCAUACCAAGGCGACGACAGGUAGCCGGCCUGAGAGAGUGACCGGCGUCACUGGGACUGGGGUACGACCCAGACUCGUACGGGAGGCAGCUGUGGGGGAUAUUGCACAAUGGGCGCAAGCCUGAUGCAGAUAAGCCGCGUGAGGAAUGACGGCCUUCGGGUUGUAGACCUCUUUCAGCACCGACGAAGCGCAAGUGACGGUAGGUGCAGAAGAAGGACCGGCCAACUACGUGCCAGCAGCCGCGGUAA
rnacentral:rRNA from 1 species